ensembl:misc_RNA Metazoa_SRP Metazoan signal recognition particle RNA
GCCAGGCACGGUGGCACAUGCCUGUAGUCCCAGCUACUCCGGAGUCUGAGGUGGGAGAAUCGCUUGAGUUCAGGAGUUCUGGGCUGCAGUGCACUAUGCUGAUCGAGUGUCCACACUAAGUUCGGCAUCAAUGUGGUGACCUCCCAGGAGUGGGGGACUACCAGGUUGCCUAAGUAGGGGUGAAUCUGCCCAGGUUGGAAAUAGAGCAGGUCAAAACUCCCAUGCUGAUCAGUAGCGGGAUUGCACCUGUGAAUAGCCACUGCACUCCAGCCUGGGCAACAUAGCAAGACCCCAUCUCUA